AGAACUUCGGGAUACGGCUGGAAAUUAAUCUAAAAGGAACAUGAAAAAUAUACACAAAAUAGUGAAGUACGAUUAACACAGUUUUUUAGCUGAAUACAAAUGCACUCACAGAAUGAAGUAGAAUAUAUCGCUCAUAGGGUGCCUCCCCUAGGAGUGGGGGGUUGGUAAUCUCUUGACUCCUUAUAGGCUUCCUUAAUAAUGCUCAGGACUCCCAGCAGAUAAUGGUAGAAAAAAC